UUCAGUGCUCCCUCUGUCCUCUACUGUGUCUUCAUGCAGCAUGCUAACGCUACAUGCUACUGGACGCCCUCAGGAGACGGCAGCAGCAACAUCACCUACACACUGACCGUCAACACGACUGCAAAACUUCGUCAGUGUAACAGCACAUACAGAAACGGCUCCCUCUCCUCUCCCCUCAGCCAGAGGAUUGACCAGUGUAACACCACACACCCAAAUUGCACCAUGGGGAGUGAGAGCUGCGUGACAUCCGGUACCCACUGCACCAUCACCUCCUCCCGCAUCAGCAGCCGCAACUGGUUUGCUGUGCAGG